UACAGAGGUCUCAAGCGUUGUUCGGAGUUACUGGGCGUAAAGGGUGUGUAGGCGGUUGUUUAAGUUUGGUGUGAAAUCUCCCGGCUCAACCGGGAGGGUGCGCCGAAUACUGAAUGACUAGAGUGCGGGAGAGGAAAGUGGAAUUCCUGGUGUAGCGGUGAAAUGCGUAGAUAUCAGGAGGAACACCGGUGGCGAAGGCGGCCUACUGGGCAGUCACUGACGCUGAGGCGCGAAAGCUCGGGGAGCGAACGGG
rnacentral:rRNA from 1 species